AUUGAACGCUGGCGGCAGGCCUAACACAUGCAAGUCGAGCGAGCGGCGGACGGGUGAGUAAUGUAUGGGGACUGCCCGAUAGAGGGGGAUAACUACUGGAAACGGUGGCUAAUACCGCAUACUAUCGGAUAACCCAUAUUGGAUUAGCUAGUAGGUGGGGUAAAGGCUCACCUAGGCGACGAUCUCUAGCUGGUCUGAGAGGAUGAUUAGCCCGAAGGGGACUUGGACACGGCCCGGACUCCCACGGAGGCAGCAGUGGGGAAUAUUGCACAAUGGGGGCAACCCUGACGCAGCCAUGCCGCGUGAAUGAAGAAGGCCUUCGGGUUGUAAAGUUCUUUCGGUAGCGAGGCGUUAACUACAGAAGAAGCACCGGCUAACUCCGUGCCAGCAGCCGCGGUAAUUC
rnacentral:rRNA from 1 species